CGGCAAUGAUUACAUCUUAUCCGCGCUUCUGAGAUUUAUCGAUGAAGUACAUAGGAGAAAAAAUGGUUGAAUUUCUUGAUAUGAGCCA
rfam:Lupinus angustifolius cultivar Tanjil chromosome LG15, whole genome shotgun sequence.